GAUGAACGCUGGCGGCGUGCCUAAUACAUGCAAGUCGAGCGAACGGACGAGAAGCUUGCUUCUCUGAUGUUAGCGGCGGACGGGUGAGUAACACGUGGAUAACCUACCUAUAAGACUGGGAUAACUUCGGGAAACCGGAGCUAAUACCGGAUGAUAUUUUGAACCGCAUGGUUCAAAAGUGAAAGACGGUCUUGCUGUCACUUAUAGAUGGAUCCGCGCUGCAUUAGCUAGUUGGUAAGGUAACGGCUUACCAAGGCAACGAUGCAUAGCCGACCUGAGAGGGUGAUCGGCCACACUGGAACUGAGACACGGUCCAGACUCCUACGGGAGGCAGCAGUAGGGAAUCUUCCGCAUUGGGCGAAAGCCUGACGGAGCAACGCCGCGUGAGUGAUGGAGGUCUUCGGAUCGUAAAACUCUGUUAUUAGGGAAGAACAUAUGUGUAAGUAACUGUGCACAUCUUGACGGUACCUAAUCAGAAAGCCACGGCUAACUACGUG
rnacentral:rRNA from 1 species